rnacentral:lncRNA from 1 species
CGCACCGGGGUGUCGUGCUGUCAAGUCGUGUCGUCGUAUCGUGCCGUCGUGCCUGACAGUUUCUAAAAAGGCUGUUGAUUACUAAGGCUAAUAGAGGGUUUAUGUUACAAGUCCUGGAAAAAAUAACGUGCUAGUAUAGGGUUACACCCAUUGAUCUCCAAUUUUUGUGGAUGGGACAUCACGUCCAAAACGCGUCCCGCACGUGCAUAUUUUCGGGAGGGUAAAUAACAAGCGUUGCGAAUGUUGUUGCGUGCACUUUCAAACGGAGAUUUCAAAACUGCUGGUUGAGGUUAUUGCACUUCAAUCGUCAGAUUUCUAAGAAAAACUGAUUUCUGUCCCUGGAAUGGAUAAAUUUGGAAAGAAUGAUGGUUGAGGUGUGCGCAGCAGAGAAAUUGCCGGAGAUCGAUGAUUUCACUGGAAAAAUCUCAAAGAAAGCCAUGAUUUGUGUAAGUGAGAUCUGCAGACGCAUUGAACCCAAAUCGUGUGACAGACGAUGAGAUAUGAAUGACGGAGUCUCCAUCUUUAAGGGUAUCCCGUAAUUCUACCCAUUUGCUACUGGCGGGGUGGCUACUGUCCCAGUUCUUUACGAUUCUGAUUUUGACCUGACUUCGAUGAAUGCUAGCCUCAACCAUCACCUACUCUCCAAUGGUCGGUGCGUAGGGACCUACGCAAGAAACAUAACAAGCCCGAGGACUUCCAUCUCGCAUUCUGGUGGUCCGAUGGAUUCACCUCGUGCCGUUGCUCCAUGAUCACCAUUAUGUAUAUUGUACUUCAAAGAGCUGUGAACAAUUUAUAUUGUAUUAAUUUCGGUGCGGUGUAAUAUCUCGAGCCUUUUUCUCCACUUAUGGGAUAAUCACGUAAUGAUUUCUCACUGGGCCCGUUAAAGUGACCGAUAAGGGAGUGUAAAUGCUUCAGUUUAGUUCAUUUCUUUCUUGAAAUGUAUAGUUCAUCUUUAUGUAUUUUGUGUUCUUUUGUAAAUAAAUGUAAAUAUUGUGUAGCCAAAACAAAUUUCCAGUAACAGGUAUGUAUAUAUUCGUGUCUAAACUACCAAAGGUCUGUCCCUAAGGGUAGGUCAA